rnacentral:rRNA from 1 species
GGCGUCUUAUCAACAAACAUUUAAAAGCAAAAAACUUUCAACAACGGAUCUCUUGGUUCUGGCAUCGAUGAAGAACGCAGCGAAAUGCGAUAAGUAAUGCGAAUUGCAGAAUCCGUGAGUCAUCGAAUUUUUGAACGCAUAUUGCGCCCUUUGGCAUUCCGAAGGGCAUGCCUGUUCGAGCGUCAUUAUCACCUCUCAAGCCUGGCUUGUAGUUGGAUCUUAGCUCUGGCUUUGAUGCCCUUGCUGGUCCCAAAGAUAAUGACGGCGUCUGUGAAUGACCCCCAGUACACUGAGCUCUCGUAGCACGUACUUGGUUGGAGUUCCGGACCCGGUCUAGCCAUAUAUAUUUUCUUAGGUUGACCUCGGAUCAGGUAGGGAUACCCGCUGAACUUAAGCAUAUCAAUAAGCGGAGGAAUCG